UUACGACGUCAUGAGCACGAAGCUGAUAGAUCACUUGAUUGGAACAGGUGCGUUUGUUUGAAGGGAAAGUUUGGACAAGAAACAAUGUCUGCAGCACUCCCGCCACCCUUGUGAGGAUAGGCGGCUCGGAAAAUGGACAUGGACACUCGCCUGUGAGUUAAUGAAUGUUGACAAAUCGUCGAGCUUUAUUCGUUUGGGGAGGAAAGACAGACAAAAAGGGUUUCAGUUGUGCGUUAGCAUUUAGCGCUUUUAAUAGUCGAGUGACAUCGUCACCCGUUCACGGAUGAAAACAAGACUUUCCACUCUGGUUUAGCCCCCCCGAGAGCACUUUUACGUGGCACUCUUUCUUUCUUUUUUUUACGUGGCACUCUUUCUUUCUUUUUUUUACGUGAGAGCCGGUAAAACGGGGUGAUGCUAAGCGGCUAAUGCUAACACCGCUUUGCAAUUCGAAUGAAGAAAAUGGCGGCGAUGACGUCACCAUGUUGAGGUGGAUUUGAAGAAAACAAGAAAACAAAGAGAAGGCUUUAAUGGUACAUUUGCAAAGCAUAAAGUGCGUCUGGGCCUCUACAAACGGAGCAUUAGCGGCAAUAUCCUGCCUGUUGUGGAGGCGAGCCAGUAAAUAGAGCAGCGGCGAGUGCACGUGUGACAAAAUGAGAAAAAAAAAAGAUUUGCUGAGUCACAAGGAGCUCCACGGCCUGGUCCAAAUCUCGCCGGACGUCCCGCAGCCUCUCGGCGAGAUCGGCACGGGACGCCGCAAAACCGCACGAUCGGCACUCCAGAAGCUCCUCGGAAACCAGAUGCCACAUAACGGGAAGUGGUCCGAUCACUUUAGGGGUGUCAGGAUCCAAUCAUUUCAGAAUCUAUUAUCUUACAGAUGGUCUCCUGUCGUCUAACAGUGGCUCAGCAAAGUUAUUAGGAAAUUUUCCUCACCCCCGCCAUAGAUCACUUACAAGUGAAGCGUGGCAAUCGGCGCACAGAAGUCCAGAUCCUCCAUCUCUGCUAAUUCCC